UCUACAUUGGAAAACGGUUAAACGGUAAAUAAAGUUAGUUUUGCUGGUGAACUUGUGUGGAGCAGGAACUAAAGGACCCAGGAUAAUGUUAGUAUCCGUGAGUUUGGUAGACACGUGCUAAUGGUGAUUCAUGCAUUAGCAGUUUUCUUCCGCAAUCAAACUUGAGCCUUAAGAGGGGAAUGAUAAUGGGGAAAUGUUGUAAUGACAGAAUUUAAUUAGAGGUGGGCUGUAAGUAAGUUGGGGGUCCCUCCCGAGGAUAGUGGGAGGAUACGCCCGAGGAUGCAGGGAGUCCCCGCCCGAGGAUACGCCCAAGGAUGCAGGGAGUCCCCGCCCAAAGAUACGCCCGAGGAUGCAGGGAGUCCCCCGCCCGAGGGUGCAGGGAGCCCCCGCCCGAGGAUACGCCCGAGGGUGCAGGGAGCCCCCGCCCGAGGAUACGCCCGAGGGUGCAGGGAGCCCCCGCCCGAGGAUACGCCCGAGGGUGCAGGGAGCCCCCGCCCGAGGAUACG